rnacentral:tmRNA from 10 species
GGGGGCGAUCGGUUUCGACGAAAUAUGCAUCUUUCUAAAUGGCAUGCCGAGUCCCAGAAUCUCGUAAAUAAUCUGGAAAAACCAUAAAUGCCGAUAACGGCUACAUGGCCGCUGCUUAAGUAAGUGGUCCGUCCUUAGUUUAGUGCGUCUAUGGCUUAACUAAAGGGCGUCAAAUACAUAGACUGGUUCUGGUUGUGUCUGUGAUAUCAGGAUGAGAAUUAAACAGACUGUGUUUAUAAUAGUUUUGUCAUCAGGACAGUUAUAAGCAAGAUUAAUCUGAUUGACUAAGCGUGUAGAUAUUUUUUUAGGUUCUAUCUCGGACGGGAGUUCGAUUCUCCCCGCCUCCACAA